GAACGGGUGAGUAACACGUGAGUCAACCUGCCCUUAACUCUGGGAUAAGCCUUGGGAAACGUGGGUCUAAUACCGGAUAGGAGCGCCNACCGCAUGGUGGGUGUUGGAAAGAUUUAUCGGUUUUGGAUGGACUCGCGGCCUAUCAGCUUGUUGGUGAGGUAAUGGCUCACCAAGGCGACGACGGAGUAGCCGGCCUGAGAGGGUGACCGGCCACACUGGGACUGAGACACGGCCCAGACUCCUACGGGAGGCAGCAGUGGGGAAUAUUGCACAAUGGGCGCAAGCCUGAUGCAGCGACGCCGCGUGAGGGAUGACGGCCUUCGGGUUGUAAACCUCUUUCAGUAGGGAAGAAGCGAAAGUGACGGUACCUGCAGAAGAAGCACCGGCUAACUACGUGCCAGCAGCCGCGGUAAUACGUAGGGUGCGAGCGUUAUCCGGAAUUAUUGGGCGUAAAGAGCUCGUAGGCGGUUUGUCGCGUCUGUCGUGAAAGUCCGGGGCUUAACCCCGGAUCUGCGGUGGGUACGGGCAGACUAGAGUGCAGUAGGGGAGGACUGGAAUUCCUGGUGUAGCGGUGGAAUGCGCAGAUAUCAGGAGGAACACCGAUGGCGAAGGCAGGUCUCUGGGCUGUAACUGACGCUGAGGAGCGAAAGCAUGGGGAGCGAACAGGAUUAGAUACCCUGGUAGUCCAUGCCGUAAACGUUGGGCACUAGGUGUGGGGACCAUUCCACGGUUUCCGCGCCGCAGCUAACGCAUUAAGUGCCCCGCCUGGGGAGUACGGGCCGCAAGGCUAAAACUCAAAGGAAUUGACGGGGGCCCGCACAAGCGGCGG
rnacentral:rRNA from 1 species